rnacentral:lncRNA from 1 species
CAUUCUGACAGGCCAUUUCAGUUCCUUCAUAUCCUUGAUCUCCAUCAAUAUAUUGGUCUUUGACGUAUUUAAACGCGUGAACGGCGUCGGGGGAACCUCCUGUCUCUGUUUUUUCCGAUGCUGUUCUUCACGAGGGUUCGGGUCAUGCUGUCUUUUAUGCUCGACCUUGUCAUGGGAUGGUCCAACCUUUCUCGGGUUCAGUGUUUCCUCCAUAUUUAUGUACUUCUCGGCUCGGGUAAGAAGCUCGGUCACUGUCUUUGGCGGAGUUUUGGAUAAAGACAUCUUGAAGGCCUCACACUUUAUGGCAUAUGUGAGGGCAGAAACCGCUGCAGUUAUGUGUAGGUCGGGAAUCUGAAGUCUUUCCUUGUUGAACCUGGUCAUGAAGUCACGUAAGGUCUCAUUUUGCCCCUGUCUAAGUUGCAUGAGGGAAGCCGCUGUCUUCCUGAUGCGUUUGCUGCUUGCGAAGAAAGCGGAGAACUUGUCCGCCAAAUCCGAGAAUGAGGCUAUGGAGUUGGACUCUAAGGUUGAGAACCAAUCCCUAGCGGCAUUCGUCAAGGUUUGCGGGAAGGCCUUGCACAUCACCUGAUCUGGU